rnacentral:lncRNA from 1 species
AUGCAGAGGGAGAAGCAGGCUCCUGGAGGGGACCCGAUGAGGGAAUCCAUCCCAUGCAUUGAGCCAAAGGCAGACGCUCAACCAUUGAGCCAACCAGGCAUCCUGUGUUGCUUCAUUCUUGAAAAGCAAAGUAAUAAACAGUAUUUGCAACUAAACGACUUAUGGAGAAAAAAACAUCAGCUUGCAGAAUCUGUAUUAGUCAUUAUUUCAUCCCUAUUUACAUAUGGGUGCAAUGUACAAACAUACAGACAAUAUCCUCUGUGCAUAAUAGUCUUCUGUAGUGCAGCAGGUGGAAUAAUAAGCCUUAAUGGAAAGAAAGCUAAACGUCUACUAAGAUGAAGGAUUCUAUGAAGAAUGUUCCUGUGUUUGGCCCUUGAGACAUAUUUUGGAGAAAACAGAAAAAGCACAAUCUCUUUCCCCUAUCUGGAAGCUUCUGAGUUAAACAUGGCAUGUGUUGUCUGUUCUGAUCCCAAGAACUUAGCAGGGCACUCAAGAUCUUCAGCAAACCAUCAAGAUUCUUUAGAAAUUUUGGGAGAAUAGAGACUAGUGUCUGGUUUUCAUUUUCUUCUCCAAAGAACUCACAACAAAGAACUCAAACGCUGAGUCUAUUCCCUGAUGGAGAAGUGUGUGGUUUGGAGAACACAGAACUGCCAGAGCCUGAACUAUCCACUGGCAGCCAGAUAGGAAGAAGAGAGGGUAGAGCAAAGGUGAGCAGUAACCAUAUCUCCUUGAAACCUUACCCUCCCAGUCAUGUGGCAGGUCUCAUGGGCAGGAUGAGGGAAACUUACAACUGAAUAUGAGGUUAAAGUUUUGAUGGAGACUGGACUGAUCUUUCAAAUACCUGAACCUGAAGCUGAUCUCAACAAACAAAAAACCGAUGCAGGGGAAGGGAGAAAACAAGAAAAAAAUGAAUUGGAUACCUGCAAUUUUCUAAUUCCAAUAGAAAGUCCACAAUCUACUGAAAUAAUUUAUGCAAGAAGAAAAAUAAAAGGGUAUUCAUCAUUUUUGCCUCUAAAACA